GGGAAAUGGCAGCAUGGUGCCAGAGCGUCCCGACCAUUGGUCGGGAAGGCCACCGGUUCGACUCCGGUAUUCUCCA
rnacentral:tRNA from 1 species